GGGUGUGUUUGUGUGGGCUGCCUCGGUGUGCAACCAGGCGUGUCUGUACGUGUCUCGCUUCCCUGGGGCUGCUGGGUCCAGGGUCCCACAUGACCUAGGACACAAGGAGGGGGAGGGCUGUGUCCGCGGGUUCCUCGCAGAUGGGUGUGCAUGAGGCCAAGGGCAGUGUCACCGGGUCAGUGCACGACGCUGGGAGGUGAUGUGCGUCACCAGGUCAGUGCAUGCCUGUGUGUCUCCACAGGAGGGUUGGGUCUAUGUCAGAGCGUAUGGUAUACAGGCCCAUGAGUGGCUCGUACCGCGAUGCAUGGUGAUGUUCUUUGUCGUGUCACUCUGGGAGUCACCGUGCGCAUUCCACACUUCCAUUUGCUUCUGUGUGUGGCAGUGCGUGUGUUUUCUCUUGGUGGGUCUCCUGUAUGUAACAUUGUGUAUCACUCAAGGACGUGACAUUGUGUCUCACGUUGGGGUCCAUGUCGCUGUCAGGGGCCUCUUCCUUCCCAGCCCCCAGCACCCAGUCUGAGUGCCAACCGCCCCAAGUGUCUUGUGUUUGUGUAGCUGUGUGUUGUGUCGGAGGAUAUGUCCCGUUCCCCAAUGCUGGUGUUGUGUGGGUGGUGGUAGGCCUCAGUGUCAGUGGUAUCAGUGAGUGGUGACAUCUGGUGUUUUAUGGGACACGUGGUCGUUUGUGGAAGGUUGGGUGUGUUGGGAAACAUUGUGUCUAUGUGUUUUGUGUUGCUGUGUGCUGGUGUGUUACUCCGUGCAUGUUGUCUGUGUGGCCACGCAUGUUGGAAUAUAACAUGUGCUGAGUUGUGUUGCAGUAUUGUCUGUGAUGUUUGGGUGUGGCUCAUGGGUCAAAGGUGAUGGUGUAUGUUGCGUUUGUUUUUUCGUUUUUGUUUGUUUUAGAGACAGGAUCUUGCUAUGUUGCCCAGGCUGGUCUCAAACGCCUGGGCUCCAGCGAUCCUCCCACCUCAGUCUCCCAAACUGCUAGGAUUACAGACAUGAGCCACCGCACCCAGCCGUAUGUUGCAUUUGGGCACUGGGGUCUAUGAAGGUCCAACCCCAUCCCCCUCCCCCAGGGCAUCAUCCUGGGUCGUGUCCUGUGUGACCAGAAUAUACCAGAAUCAUCUUGCUUCAGGCAUGUGCUGCUUGGGUUUCUCCGUGUGUCUCUGUACCUUGUAGGUCUCCGCACGCAUCCACUCAGCGUGUCCUCUGACCAUACAUUGGAAUCACAUCACACACCGGAGCACGCUGGAUCAGUGUGUGUUUUGAAUCAUAACCGUGAGCACUUGUGUUCGAGUCAACAGGUGCCACAAUGUUUGUGCAUUUCUCUAGGUGCUGGGUGAUUGGAGGCUGCUGUAGGUAUGUCCCUAAAUGUUGUGUGUCUGCACAUAUCGGGUUUCAUUCCAAGGGUGUGUAGUGUUUAGGAAACUGGGACUGCACCGUGUUUCUGUAGAUGUGUGGUGUGUGGCGUCGGGGUGUCAGUAUUUUAAUAUAUAUUAUGUGUUUGUGUAACACCUGAUGUAUGUUGUGUUUGUGUGGCCACAGAUGUGCAUCAUCCCAUUUGUGGUGUUUGAGUGAGGCUCUUUGUGUCGGAGAAAGUUGUGACAGCUUUGAGUGUAAUAUUUGUGCCUGUGUGUGGACGGUGUUUGUGUGGCUGUGUGUGCCACGGGACGCUGCCUGCUUGCUAAGUGCUGGUGUGUGUCACACCAUGUGUGUGGUGUCUGGGUGUGGCUGUGGGUUUCAGAGCUUGCUGGGAGUUGUGAGUCACUCUGUGUAGGUUGUGUUGUGUGCCCUGGUGUGUUAGUCUCUGUCUUGGGCCGUGGAGUGUCCUUCGGUGUCUGGGUGUGGUGAGUGGAGGUGUGUGUCACAAGGUACGGACCAUUGUGUGUGACAAAGCCCAUCGUGUGUCGGUGUGUGUCUUUACCCACGUGGAUGGACGUCUCUUUCUUGCUCUGCCCCAAGACACACCCUAGCCCCUCCUUAUUCUCAAAAGGGGGAGCUGGGGAGCCUCCCCCUACCCUGGGGCCUCCCCUGCCCCUCCCCGCCCUGCCUGGCCGCCACCACUCCCCAGAGGGCACAGGCUCUGCUGUGCCUCAGAGCAAAAGUCCCAGAGCCAGCAGAGCAGGCUGACGACCUGCAAGCCACAGUGGCUGCCCUGUGCGUGCUGCGAGGUGGGGGACCCUGGGCAGGAAGCUGGCUGAGCCCCAAGACCCCGGGGGCCAUGGGCGGGGAUCUGGUGCUUGGCCUGGGGGCCCUGAGACUCCGAAAGCGCUUGUUGGAGCAGGAGAAGUCUCUGGCCGGCUGGGCGCUGGUGCUGGCGGGAACUGGCAUCGGACUCAUGGUGCUGCAUGCAGAGAUGCUGUGGUUCGGGGGGUGCUCGUGGGCGCUCUACCUGUUCCUGGUUAAAUGCAUGAUCAGCAUUUCCACCUUCUUACUCCUCUGCCUCAUCGUGGCCUUUCACGCCAAAGAGGUCCAGCUGUUCAUGACCGACAACGGGCUGCGGGACUGGCGCGUGGCGCUGACCGGGCGGCAGGCGGCGCAGAUCGUGCUGGAGCUGGUGGUGUGCGGGCUGCACCCGGCGCCCAUGCGGGGCCCGCCGUGCGCGCAGGAUUUAGGGGCGCCGCUGACCUCCCCGCAGCCCUGGCCGGGAUUCCUGGGCCAAGGGGAAGCGCUGCUGUCCCUGGCCAUGCUGCUGCGUCUCUACCUGGUGCCCCGCGCCGUGCUCCUGCGCAGCGGCGUCCUGCUCAACGCUUCCUACCGCAGCAUCGGCGCUCUCAACCAAGUCCGCUUCCGCCACUGGUUCGUGGCCAAGCUUUACAUGAACACGCACCCCGGCCGCCUGCUGCUCGGCCUCACGCUUGGCCUCUGGCUGACCACCGCCUGGGUGCUGUCCGUGGCCGAGAGGCAGGCUGUGAAUGCCACCGGGCACCUUUCAGACACACUUUGGCUGAUCCCCAUCACAUUCCUGACCAUCGGCUAUGGUGACGUGGUGCCAGGCACCAUGUGGGGCAAGAUCGUCUGCCUGUGCACUGGAGUCAUGGGGGUCUGCUGCACAGCCCUGCUGGUGGCCGUGGUGGCCCGGAAGCUGGAGUUUAACAAGGCAGAAAAGCACGUGCACAAUUUCAUGAUGGAUAUCCAGUAUACCAAAGAGGACCCAAGAGUCCCAGCCCGAGCCCUGCCUUCCCAGAACCGUAAGGGUCUAUCUCCAUGGACACUGUGCCACCCACCCCCAGAUGAAGGAGUCCGCUGCCCGAGUGCUACAAGAAGCCUGGAUGUUCUACAAACAUACUCGCAGGAAGGAGUCUCGAGCUGCCCGCAGGCAUCAGCGCAGGCUGCUGGCUGCCAUCAACGCGUGAGGGCGCUUUGUUCCGCCAGGUGCGGCUAAAACACCGGAAGCUCCGGGAACAAGUGAACUCCAUGGUGGACAUCUCCAAGAUGCACAUGAUCCUGUAUGACCUGCAGCAGAAUCUGAGCAGCUCACACCGGGCCCUAGAGAAGCAGAUUGACACGCUGGCGGGGAAGCUGGACGCCCUGACCGAGCUGCUUAGCACUGCCCUGGGGCCGAGGCAGCUUCCAGAACCCAGCCAGCAGUCCAUGUAGCUGGACCCACGGAGGAACCAGGCUACUUUCCCCAGGACUGAGGUGAUGCACAUCGUCUCUGCCACUCCUGCCUCGGCUCUGAACAAAGCACCUCAAGUGCACGGACCAAAGGGGGCCCUGGCUUGGAGUGGGUUGGCUUGCUGACGGCUGCUGGAGAGGACGCUGGCUAAAGUGGGAAGGCCUUGGCCCACCUGAGGCCCCAGGUGGGAACAUGGUCACCCCCACUCUGCAUACCCUCAUCAAAAACACUCUCACUAUGCUGCUAUGGACGACCUCCAGCUCUCAGUUACAAGUGGAGGCGCCUGGAGGCCGGACUCCUGGGUCCCUGGGGAAGAGGGUACUAGGGGCCCGGAUCCAGGAUUCUCGGAGGCUUCAGUUACCGCUGGCCGAGCUGAAGAACUGGGUAUGAGGCUGGGGCGGGUAGGAGGUGGCGCCCCCUGGCGGGACAACAAAGAGGACACCAUUUUUCCAGAGCUGCAGAGAGCACUUGGUGGGGAGGAAGAAGUGUAACUCACCAGCCUCUGCUCUGAUCUUUGUAAUAAAUGUUAAAGCCAGAA